rnacentral:misc_RNA from 1 species
CAGGACUCGCAAGACUCCCGUAAACCACUGUGAACUUACCUACAACCCGUUGCCUCGGCGGGUGCUCCGGGCGCGUCUUCGGGCGCUCCGGGGCGCUCCAGCCCGCCGGCCGGCCCCUAAACUCUGUCUCUGUAACGUUGGCAUCUCCGAGCAGACUAUAAACGAGUCA